rnacentral:tRNA from 1 species
UGGGGCGUCGCCAAGCGGUAAGGCACGGGGUUUUGGUCCCCGCAUUCCCAGGUUCGAAUCCUGGCGCCCCAG